rnacentral:rRNA from 1 species
AACGAACGCUGGCGGCAUGCCUAACACAUGCAAGUCGAACGAGACCUUCGGGUCUAGUGGCGCACGGGUGCGUAACGCGUGGGAACCUGCCCUUAGGUUCGGAAUAACUCCCCGAAAGGGGUGCUAAUACCGGAUAAUGUCUUCGGACCAAAGAUUUAUCGCCUUUGGAUGGGCCCGCGUUGGAUUAGCUAGUUGGUAGGGUAAAAGCCUACCAAGGCGACGAUCCAUAGCUGGUCUGAGAGGAUGACCAGCCACACUGGGGCUGAGACACGGCCCAGACUCCGGCGGAGGGGGGCAGUGGGGAAAAAGGGAAAAGGGGGGAAGGCCGAAGCCAGCAGUGCCGGGUGAGGGUUGAGGGCGUUAGGGUUUAAAAGCUCUUUAUCCCGGGGGGAAAUGAAAGGACCGGGGGAAAAAGCCCCGGCUAAAUCCGUG